GUAAGGCAGUUUUGGAUUGUGAAAAUACUGUAGAGUAAAAAUUGUUGCGCUGCUUUGUUGUUCUUUACGGUAUUGUGUCAUCACGUCCGGAAUAGGAGAUUUAGCGUCUCCGCUCUUUCUCUUUACCAGUAGCAGUGGCGGCCCUCAUUGAAAAACACCAACACAGGGAUUGUUUAGUGGCCUGUGUCUGUGGGGGAAAUAAAAGCGACGCUUCGGCUAGUGACCGUCUUCCUUCCAUGCUGCUCGGCCCCGGUUUAAACCAUGUUGAGCGGCGUUACUCUGCGCGCACAGAUCGCCUCCGUUAUCGACGCCUUGUCCAAAGCGGCCGCGGCAGAAAUCGCCAAAGUUGUGGAGGACGGCAUGGUGGUGCUCCGUCUGGAGGUGUGUCAGCGGGAAAAUGAGAUCCAGAAGCUGAAGAGCAACAUCCAGCUGCUGCACGGAGAGCUGCGGGCGGUGCAGCAGCUAGCGGACACCCACGGACCCAUCGCCCGGUACCACGACAGAGACGAAAGUCAAGCUUGUGUCGGUGCUGAGAGGAAUCUCGAUCCGAACCCAAGUCCCCUUCCUGUUCCUGAAGUCCAGAUUAAAAUUGAACCUGUUGAAAAGAGAGGCGAGGAUGCACCAGGACAGCCCGACAUGCAGAAACCAAUGCUAACGCUCUAUAAAAACAGCCCGUGGAGACCCGCACACAAAGACUCUGAACAACCACACACGGACUAUCUACAUUCAGGCCAAAACUCUCUGUCGUGUCUUCCUGAGUUUUCUUCCUGCAGCGAACAAACCCCGACUGGCAGCAGAUCUGAUGGAGUCCAACAGGGCCCUUUAGGUCGGGGCCUGUUGGGUUACAGUCACUUCCAUAAUGCUAACAACACAGCGCGACAGAGAACGGUGAAGAAGCUGUUGUUUAAGAAAGGUUAUUUCUGUCCAUACUGUGGCAAAUACUUUGAGCGUGCCGGCCACCUGGAGAGACAUAAAAGGAUUCACACUGGAGAGAAACCGUAUGGAUGUGAGAUAUGUGGGAGGAGGUUCAAUCAGAAAUGCAGCGUCAAGGAGCACAUGAAGACUCACAGAAGAUGUAAGUCAAACUGUUCAAGGUCCAUAAGAUCAAUGAUUCCCAACCAAGGGUAGACCUAAUUCUUAGUUAUUUUAUAAACCUGUUGUAAAUAUCGGUCAUUACACGGUUUAAUUUUUUUUUUUUUUUUUUUUUUUUUUAUUUUUUUUUUUUUUUUUUUUUUUACCUUGUCUGCACAUGCUUUCGAAGGUUAACACUACAAGAAGUGCAAUCUUUUGACAGCAAUGCAUAUUUUAUUAUUGCAAUUAAAUAAAUUUAUUUAUUUCAUUGCA
rnacentral:lncRNA from 1 species